AAGAUGUUCGUCGAGAAGUGAAACUGUUGGAAGCUUUGUCUGGGCAUAGGCAUAUGGUAAAGUUCUACGAUGUAUACGAGGACGCUGAUAAUGUCUUUGUUGUUAUGGAGUUAUGCGAAGGUGGAGAGCUAUUGGACAGGAUUUUGGCGAGAGGUGGUCGAUACCCUGAAGUCGAUGCCAAACGUUCUUGU